UUUUAGAUUAUUCAUCCAUUACUGUGAGAUAAGGGUAUUAAUUUGGAAUGUCUCCCAGAUUUAGGGUGUUGACAAUACCACCCAAUGGAUGCCAAAGGCAAUCAUAUAUCUACAAGGCAUGAGUACUCCCUCAAACAGUUGAGCCAUAAUCUUCUUUAGGAGAAUGAAAACUGAAUUAAUAUUUAGCACAAGACCCAAUGAAGCAAAGGUGAGAAAGGGAAAAUAGGAUGGCACUUAUUGCACUGGUACCACCCAGAAUCACAUGGAGUAGAGGCUUGGAUCCACAGAAAUGAUGACAUUUGCUGUUAAUAAACAAAAUAUAACAAGGCUGGAUAACUUCCCUGUUGCUAAACAUUUUAGAAGAUCUUAAAGAGCGUCAGAUAAUACGCAAAUUUUCUUGUUCAACAUGAGCUAUUCUCAAGUUCAUAAAGUCAAAACCCCUCUGAAUCCUAAUUUGUUUCCUAUAGAGUUGUAACAAAAUAUCAUCCCUCCCCAAAAGUGAUAGAGAAUUAUGAUUUCUAUCUUCAGAAAAUUUGUGGAUUUAUUUAUACUUAAUAGAGAGCAAGAAAACAAAUAGUCGAGGGUACAGUGAAAGAGAG
rnacentral:lncRNA from 1 species